UACGUAGGGGGCAAGCGUUGUCCGGAUUUAUUGGGCGUAAAGAGCGUGUAGGCGGCCAGAUAGGUCCGCUGUGAAAACUCGAGGCUCAACCUCGAGAUGUCGGCGGAAACCAUCUGGCUAGAGUCCGGAAGAGGAGAGUGGAAUUCCUGGUGUAGCGGUGAAAUGCGCAGAUAUCGGGAAGAACACCCGUGGCUAAGGCGGCUCUCUAGUACGGUACUGACGCUGAGACGCGAAAGCGUGGGGAGCGAACAGG
rnacentral:rRNA from 1 species